CGGACUUGAAGCUUUUACAAACAACACGCCAUUGUACUCACUUCUUAUUCAGAGACGGGCUGCGCGCUCCGAGCUGCACAGGCAGGCAUUUUUCCCCCGGCUUUGUUUUACAAGGGUGCUGGACCUGGGCAACUAGCUUCUGUCCGCACAACGUUGAUCGAAUGGGGAAGGCACCGGGAGCCAGGGUGAAGACAUUCAGGGAGGCAAAGGAAAUCGGGAAUCCCCUUCUGACCUCCACCCUCCCACCUCCAGCGCUGUGAGAGAGUUUAUCUUCCAGAACCGCUGCUUGGUCAGAUCGGAGCAUCUCCCCAGGGACCAGGAGAAUUUCCUCGCGUAAA